ensembl:lncRNA butyrophilin subfamily 3 member A2-like
GGACACGUGACGGUCAUAAACGUCUCUCCCUCCCGUGUAUCUGACUGUUAGUUUGCAUGUAUUUGUAUCGACGUCACUGUGUGGCGUCUGCUGCAUUUGGUUUCACUCUAAAAUCAGACGGAGCGCGUUUUUCCUCUUCGAUCGCAGAUUUCCAGGUUCUGGACCACGGAGCAGGCCGCUCUCUUGUCGUGGGUCCAUCUCAGCCAAUCGCGGCGGCCGUCGGUGAUGACGUCACGCUGCCGUGUCGCCUGCAGCCGCCGGCGGAUGCGGUUGCCAUGACGGUGGAGUGGACGAGGACCGGCCCCGACCGCAGGUUUGUCCUGGUGUGGCGCGACGGCGAGGAGCUGAGGAACAAACACGAGGCCUACGAGGGAAGAACGUCGCUGCUCACGGACGAGCUGAGGAACGGGGACGUUUCUCUGAGGCUGGUUCACGUGAGGCCGUCGGACGCAGGAACCUACAGGUGCUUCGUUCCAGGGUUGGACAGCGACGCUGCUGUGCAGCUCGUUGUAGGUUCUGUCUCCUCACCCGUGAUCCAUGAGGUCUCCAACACCAGUGACGUGGUGGUGCUGGAGUGUAGGAGUGGAGGCUGGUUCCCAGAGCCUGAGCUGCUGUGGCUGGACGCUGAGGGAAAGCUCCUCUCUGCUGGACCUACAGAGACAGUCAGAGGUUCUGAUGACCUCUAUACUGUCAGCAGCAGAGUGACUGUGGACAAGAGACACAGCAGCAGAUACACAUGCAGAGUCCAGCAGACCUCCAUCAACCACACCUCAGAGGCUCACAUUGAAGUUACAGGUGCUGUAGAACCUCAAUGAUCUCAUGUUACACAUCUGUUUCCAGCUGUUUCCUACAAACUGUGUUUCUCUGUGUGACCCUUCAUCAGGCAACAUCUUCCCGGGUCAGACUGAUUCUAGAUCCAGUUCUGGUUCAUCUGUUCUUGUCGUCGUGGGUUUGAUUCUCUGUAUCGUGGUUCUUCUUGCUGCUGUUGCUGCUCUGGUUGUGUGGAAACGAAGGAAGAACAAACAUGGAAAGAAGCAGCAGGAUGAAGAGACACAGAACAGGUCUGGAGCUAAUGAACCAGAGAAGGAACCUCUGAUGGAACCAGAAACAGACGGAGAACGAGUAACAACACAGACGGUGGAAAACCAGAAUGAGAUGGAGAAAACACAGACAGUACAUACACAGAACCAGGAAACAGAAGAGACGGAGGCUGAAGAUGAAGAACCACAUGAUCAGGGUUUGACGGAUGAAGGACAAUAUGAGGAGCUGAUGGAGAGAGAAACAUUAAGUGAUGUUGACAUAGAAAUGGAGACACUUAAGAACAAGGUCACGUUAAUUGACGGAGGUGAAAAAGGAUAUGAUAAAAACAUUAAGAGAAAACUAGGACAGAUAAAAGAUAAAGAAAAGCAGAUCAGCGACAUUAAGAAGCAGCUGAAGGAGCUGGAGACACAGAGAGAAGAGACUGAGAAGAAGAUGAUGGAUCCUGAUUCACAGAAAGAAGCUGCAGAGACACAUCAGGAAGUGAGAGACGCAAAGAAGGUGGAACUUCAGAAACAGCUGAAAAAAACAGAGGAGUGGAUGAAGAGAAUGAUGAAGGAGAUUGUUUACAUGUCUGAAACAGGAAAGAAACAUAAAACCACAAAGGGGAGAGAUGAAACCGCUAAAAAGACUGAGGAGGAGAAGAAACAGAAGAAUAAAAACCUAAAAACUACAUCAGACAAUUGAUUAUUAGAGCAGACGAAUGGUCAUAAAACAGACAAAACACAGGAAGCAGCUGAAAAUAAAGACACAACGAAGCAGAAAGGAGAGAAACCG